rnacentral:rRNA from 1 species
UCGAGCGAACAGAAAAGGAGCUUGCUCCUUUGACGUUAGCGGCGGACGGGUGAGUAACACGUGGGCAACCUACCCUAUAGUUUGGGAUAACUCCGGGAAACCGGGGCUAAUACCGAAUAAUCUCUUUUACUUCAUGGUGAAAGACUGAAAGACGGUUUCGGCUGUCGCUAUAGGAUGGGCCCGCGGCGCAUUAGCUAGUUGGUGAGGUAACGGCUCACCAAGGCGACGAUGCGUAGCCGACCUGAGAGGGUGAUCGGCCACACUGGGACUGAGACACGGCCCAGACUCCUACGGGAGGCAGCAGUAGGGAAUCUUCCACAAUGGGCGAAAGCCUGAUGGAGCAACGCCGCGUGAGUGAAGAAGGUUUUCGGAUCGUAAAACUCUGUUGUAAGGGAAGAACAAGUACAGUAGUAACUGGCUGUACCUUGACGGUACCUUAUUAGAAAGCCACGGCUAACUACGUGCCAGCAGCCGCGGUAAUACGUAGGUGGCAAGCGUUGUCCGGAAUUAUUGGGCGUAAAGCGCGCGCAGGCGGUCCUUUAAGUCUGAUGUGAAAGCCCACGGCUCAACCGUGGAGGGUCAUUGGAAACUGGGGGACUUGAGUGCAGAAGAGGAAAGUGGAAUUCCAAGUGUAGCGGUGAAAUGCGUAGAGAUUUGGAGGAACACCAGUGGCGAAGGCGACUUUCUGGUCUGUAACUGACGCUGAGGCGCGAAAGCGUGGGGAGCAAACAGGAUUA